CGCUGGCGGCGUGCCUAAUACAUGCAAGUCGAGCGGAUCUUGUCCUUCGGGACAAGAUUAGCGGCGGACGGGUGAGUAACACGUGGGUAACCUGCCUGUAAGACUGGGAUAACAUUCGGAAACGAAUGCUAAUACCGGAUACGCGGUUUGGUCGCAUGACCGAACCGGGAAAGAUGGAGCAAUCUAUCACUUACAGAUGGACCCGCGGCGCAUUAGCUAGUUGGUGAGGUAACGGCUCACCAAGGCGACGAUGCGUAGCCGACCUGAGAGGGUGAUCGGCCACACUGGGACUGAGACACGGCCCAGACUCCUACGGGAGGCAGCAGUAGGGAAUCUUCCGCAAUGGACGAAAGUCUGACGGAGCAACGCCGCGUGAGUGAUGAAGGUUUUCGGAUCGUAAAGCUCUGUUGCCAGGGAAGAAUGCUUGGGAGAGUAACUGCUCCCAAGGUGACGGUACCUGAGAAGAAAGCCCCGGCU
rnacentral:rRNA from 1 species